AUUGAACGCUGGCGGCAGGCCUAACACAUGCAAGUCGAACGAGUUGCGGACGGGUGAGUAAUGUCUGGGAAACUGCCUGCUGGAGGGGGAUAACUACUGGAAACGGUAGCUAAUACCGCAUACCAUCCGAUUUACCCAGGUGGGAUUCGCUAGUUGGUGGGGUAACGGCUCACCAAGGCGACGCUCCCUAGCUGGUCUGAUAGGAUGACCAGCAACACGGGAACGGAGAAACGGUCCAUAGUCCUACGGGAGGCAGCAGGGGGGAAUAGUGCACAAUGGGCGCAGGCCUGAUGCAGACAUGCCGCGGGUAUGAAGAAGGCCUUCGGGUUGUAAAGUACUGUCAGCGGGGAGGCGUUACCCGAAGAAGAAGCACCGGAUAACUCCGUGCCAGCAGCCGCGGUAAUAC
rnacentral:rRNA from 1 species